GGCCUCGUAGCUCAGCUGGUAAAGCGCGCAUUGUAGAAAAGGGUCGGCGGCAUCCGUGCGAGGGUUCAAAUCCCACCGAGACUA
rnacentral:tRNA from 1 species